AACGAACGCUGGCGGCAUGCCUAACACAUGCAAGUCGAACGAGACCUUCGGGUCUAGUGGCGCACGGGUGCGUAACGCGUGGGAACCUGCCCUUAGGUUCGGAAUAACUCCCCGAAAGGGGUGUUAAUACCGGAUAAUGUCUUCGGACCAAAGAUUUAUCGCCUUUGGAUGGGCCCGCGUUGGAUUAGCUAGUUGGUAGGGUACAAGCCUACCAAGGCGACGAUCCAUAGCUGGUCUGAGAGGAUGAUCAGCCACACUGGGACUGAGACACGGCCCAGACUCCUACGGGAGGCAGCAGUGGGGAAUAUUGGACAAUGGGCGAAAGCCUGAUACAGCAAUGCCGCGUGAGUGAUGAAGGCCUUAGGGUUGUAAAGCUCUUUUACCCGGGAUGAUAAUGACAGUACCGGGAGAAUAAGCUCCGGCUAACUCCGUG
rnacentral:rRNA from 1 species